rnacentral:rRNA from 1 species
CGUGUAGGCGGCCCACUAAGUCUGAUGUGAAAGCCCGGGGCUCACCCCCGGAAGUGCAUUGGAAACUGGUGGACUCGAGUCCCGGAGAGGAGGGUGGAAUUCCUGGUGUAGCGGUGAAAUGCGUAGAUAUCAGGAGGAACACCGGUGGCGAAGGCGGCCCUCUGGACGGUGACUGACGCUGAGACGCGAAAGCGUGGGGAGCAAACAGGAUUAGAUACCCUGGUAGUCCACGCCGUAAACGAUGAGCACUAGGUGUCGCGGGUAUUGACCCCUGCGGUGCCGACGCUAACGCAUUAAGUGCUCCGCCUGGGGACUACGGCCGCAAGGUUAAA